AGCGAACGCUGGCGGCAGGCCUAACACAUGCAAGUCGAACGAACCUUUCGGGGUUAGUGGCGGACGGGUGAGUAACACGUGGGAACGUGCCUUUAGGUUCGGAAUAACUCAGGGAAACUUGUGCUAAUACCGAAUGUGCCCUUCGGGGGAAAGAUUAAUCGCCUUUAGAGCGGCCCGCGUCUGAUUAGCUAGUUGGUUGAGGUAAUGGCUCACCAAGGCGACGAUCAGUAGCUGGUCUGAGAGGAUGAUCAGCCACAUUGGGACUGAGACACGGCCCAAACUCCUACGGGAGGGAGCAGUGGGGAAUCUUGCGCAAUGGGCGAAAGCCUGACGCAGCCAUGCCGCGUGAAUGAUGAAGGUCUUAGGAUUGUAAAAUUCUUUCACCGGGGACGAUAAUGACGGUACCCGGAGAAGAAGCCCCGGCUAACUUCGUG
rnacentral:rRNA from 1 species